GGACAGGAAGGGGGAAACUUUGAACGUAAAAAUGUGUGUGUGUGUGUGUUUUUCAGUUAAACACAGAACUGCAUAUUGCUAAUGAAAUACGUGUAAUCCCUGUAUGUUGUGUAUUUCUGAGGUAUAUCAAACUCGUUAGAACUGUUUCGUUGUGUGUUUUAAACUCUGAGGCCUCAUAUUUAAUAGCCUCAGUGUAUAUUCCCUUAUUAAUUGUACUAAAUAUACCUUUCUUGGUAUCAAAUUAAACCUUACGAUUUGUCCGAGCUGAA